rnacentral:tRNA from 1 species
AUGCUGGUGAUACAAGCGGUCUCCAAAACUGAUGGCGGGAAGG